UCUUCCGGGGGGGAGGGGAGGCGAGACGAGGCCUCUGGGGCGGGCGCCCGCUCGGGCGGGCACGUGGGGCCCCUUCGUCCUCAGCGUCCGGGCGCCCCGCGCCAGUCCCCACCCCCGCCCCGGCCCUGUGGCGGCGGCCGGUGGGGAGAAAGACCAAAACCUAUCUCGCGCCGCCGCCAUCAGAGUCGCGGCUGUGCUGAUGGUUUCUGGGAAGUGCUAGAAACGGGGCCAUAAAGAGAAUGGCGUCCAUUUACAUAAUGCUUUGUCUGCAUUUUGCAACUCUUCGUUAAGCCCGCAGAAACCCCACCUCCUACGCUGGUGUCGUUUUAGUCGCUGCCGCCUCGUCACACGUUUAAGACAAUGGCGUGCAUUUAUCCGGGCUCUCAGGGGGUUCCUGCGGUUCCCCCGCGCGGGUUACGCUCCCGCUGCUGCCUUUCGGCCCCUUCCCGGCUCAGCGCAGCCAUCGCGCCCGCGCUGUCCGGGGGCGGCCCCCAACUGGGCCCGCCAUCUUGGAGGACCUUUCCUGAGGGUGUGGAGCCGAGCGGCCCUCCCGCUAAGGAAAGGUCGCUGGGGCCGUUGGUGCGCCAGUUGUGAUUUCUGCCCGUUUCCUUUUCCUUGGCUUGAGCCAGACAGAACAGGCCGAGUGCGCGGCGUGGUUUAGGAUACCUUAGGGAAAGCGGCUAACGUGGCGGUCCCUCAGUCCCCACCCCCCCCGCCUUCCCCGUGGGGGUGGCCGCCAUAUUUGCUGAACACAAAAUGGCGACACGUGUCCUGGAUUCGUCGCCAACGAGAAAUUGGGGUCGGCCUGAAAACUUUAGAAUGCGCCCCCUUCCCACCCCACCCACGAUGAAUUCAUUUAGGCCAAGAGAGAUGAAGUGACUAAUUGAAGGUCACACAGUGUCCAGGAUGGAUUCCAGACUUUCUGAUACACUUAUUGACCUGGCACUAUCUUGUGGAUAUGUGAGUGAAUUCCACACCUCCCAUUUUACCGAUGAAGCCACUGAGAUACAGAGUAACUGACUAAAUAGUCACCACCCCACCCCUGGAGCCUCACAUGACUCUUUCAGAUGACAUGUGGUCUUGUCACUGUAAUGUGGUAGUUGAGGCUGUGACUCUGGAGCUAGCCUGAUGGGGACUGAAUUCUCACUCAGCCACUUCUUAUAUGACCUUGGAAAUGAACAAAACUACGGGAGGUCUAGGAAUGGUGAAGCGGCGCCUGUGCUUUUGAGUGCUCAGAUUAUGUGAAAGGAAUUGAAGCAGACACUGCGCGAGGGGAAGUCUCAGUCCCUCCUUGAGGAGCAUCUCUUGGGCCAUUUUUCAGGCUGCUCCGUGUAGCAUGUGGGAUCUUAGUUUCUAGACCAGGGAUUGAACCCACGCCCCCUUCGUUGGAAGCAUCACUGGACCACCAAGGAAGUCCCAGCAAAUCUCUUUAAUGAAUAGCUUAAUAGAAGACAGCCGGAUUCUCAUGCCUGCUUUUGUAUUCAAUAAUAUAUUGCUUUCCUUGGAGUAGAUGAAUGAAAUUCAGCUUCAUAUAGAUUCGUAUUUGGAAAAAAAUCAAGUACAGAGGCCACUUGUUUCCUGAGAAGAGGUGGGGCUACACCUCUUGUGCCCAGAGACCUCACUAGGCUCUGACAGGAACACAAAAGAAAUGUAAGACACAGACUAUACCCACAGUCAAGAGAAUUGAGUAGACAACAUUAAGUUUGAAAAGUUGUAAUAGCACAGAAAUAUACAGAAUUGUCCCUCCAUGUCCAGGCAUUGGUUCCGGGAGCUCUCUCCUCAUCCCUGGAGUUACCAAGAUUCAUGGAUGCUCAAGUCGCCUGUAUAAAAAGGUGUAGUAUUUGUAUAUAACCUAUGCACAUCUUCCCACAUACUUUUUUUUUUUUUUUUUUGGCCUGGCUUGUAAAAUCUUAGUUCCCCAAGUAGGGAUUGAACCCAGGCCUUGACAGUGAAAACAUGGAGUCCUAACCACUGGACCUCCAGGAAUUCCAGUAUACUUUAAAUCAUCUCUAGAGUACUUGCAAUAACUAAUACAAUGGAAAUGCUAUGUAAAUAGUUGUAAAUACAGUGUAAAUGCUGUGCAAAUGAUUGCCAGUGAGGGGACAAUUUCAAGUUUUGCUUUUUGGAACUUUAUGGAUUUUUUUCCCACUUGAGUAUUUUCAAUCCUUCGCUUUUUGGAUUUGCAGAUGAGGGCCGUAUAUUACAUAUAAGGACCCUCAGAGCCAAAUGGGAAUUCUAGACCAGGUGACGGGAGAGGAUGGCCUUCAAAAUCAUUGUGUCAGGCCCUGCUCCCUUGGACUGCACAGUGGGAGCUGGAAACACCAGUGACCCCAGUGGGACCCUUGGUAUUCAUCAGCACCAAAUAUACCAGGAACUGGAUUUGAUGAAGCUGGACUUCCUUAUUGGUACAGAAAUCUUACAUGAGGUUUCUUUAGGAAGACGCCCCUCACUGCUAUUGACUUGGGGGCAUCCCCCAUUCUCUGGCCCAAGGAUAUUCCUGUGGAUUCUCAGAGCCCCUGUGUCCUUGCUGCUGUGGCUGCUACAGCUCCCAGCUAUAUGCUCCCCACUGUAGACAAAUCAGCCUGUACUGGGGUUUUUUAUUCUUCAUCUUGCAGGGAAUCCUGUGUUCAGUCGUUGCCGUCUCCAAGUCUUCUCUUCUCUAAUGACUUCCUGUAGGUUAGUUCUGGGGAUCUUUCCUUAAUUGACUCUUAAAUGUGUUUUACUUCUAGAGAAUUCUUCAUAAUUGCCAGCAUUGUGACGGCUUCUUCCUAGUUUCCUCCUCUUUCACAUUUGCUAGGUUUGUUUUUUUUAAUUAAGUGACUUUUCCAGGGUCCGUUUUUAUUGAGGAGUAAUGAACAUAAAGUCACAAAUUUUAAGCAUAUAUCUCAGUGAGUUUUUUUUGUAUCUGUACACCAUGAAACUACCACACUGAUCAAGGUAAUCUUUUCAGAGUUAAGAAGCUGUUGGUGGGAGGUUGCAUGGAGAGGGAGAUCACGAGUGUGUCCCCAGGCUGCCAUCUUUUUCUAGAACUGUGUUUAAAGAGGCUUAAGGAGGGAGCCUCACACCAAGACUAUAUAGUGGUGUGGAGAGCAGAAUGGUUAGGAGUGAUGGGUCAUGGUUUGGUCAUCCCCCUUACCAGCCAUGGGACUUAUGUACCUCAGUGUCAAUAACUGUAAAAUGGGAGUAGGUGAUAGCUCUUACCUCACUAGUUUGUCAUGAAGAUUACACAAGGAAGUACCUGUCAGUGCCCCCAAAAAUGUUAAUUGUUGUUUUUGUUGUUAUUAAUAACGAGGAGGAGGAGGCAGUGGUUCUUAGUGAAGGGUACACAUCAGAAUCACCUGGGAGCACUUUUGCGAAAGUAUACAUGCUCAGUCUGGCCAGAUGUACUGAGUCAGAGUCUAGAUUUUGAAUACCUCCCCAAGUCAUUCUGUUGCUUAUCUUGGUGAAGAACCACUUGGCUGGAGGCGGCCAUGACAGAACGCAGGAAGAUCAGUGGGUGGCUGCUGCAAUAGUGAGGGCAGGAGGGGAUUGAGCUGGACAGAUUCAAAGCGGAGUGGAGAGGUCGCCAGGAUGAUGACCUUGGGUGGGGAGCAAGGAGGGAGGGGAAGGAGUCUGGGGUGACUCACAAGGUGCUGACCUGGAUGGCGGCUUGAGUAGGUGGUGGAUGAGCCAGAAUCAGUAAUACAGGAAGGGGGGUGGGGAGUGGGCCAGAGAUUGCUAUAAUUCUUCUUGGGAUUGUUGAAUGGAGGCUUCUGGUGAAAACACCAAGCAAGUAUGUGGAUCUCCAGGCCUGGACCAGUGGUGUUUUUCAGGGAGUCACUGGUGGGAAGGAGAUAGAUCAAGCCAUGGGCAUGGUUGUAGAGUGAAUGUAGAAGGCAGAAGAAGGCCAAGUUCAUACUCAUUCACCUCUGGGAAGGCGUGGGUCUAUCUACUUCUUCCUCCCUCCCUUGAAACAGAAAUGCUUAUUUCUCAUGUAACCGCCCCGUUGCUGAGGACUGCUGGGAAAUAAAAUCAGUCUUCUCACUUGAGGAUGAGUAAUCACUGUGGGUCACUUCCUUUCCUCACAGGUCUCAAGGUUUUCCUCAUCUGCUGAUCAAAGAGCUUUAUCUUCCACCAGCAUCCUUAGACAGCACAUUCUUUGGUUUUCUUCAGGCCCUUGAUAUCAACCAGUUACGCUUUAGUAAGCGUUUAAACCAUUCCAGUCUCUCCCAGGCCUGGUUCACCUUACUCAUUACCACAGAACACUACCCAUACCUUUCCUUCUGCCCUGCGGCUCCCUCUCUAUUCCUGCUUGUGCCAUGGUAAGCCCUGCCUCCUCCAGGAAGACUUCCCUGACUCCCAUCCCUUCCAGGUGAAGCCAGAUGUGGAGCUCUGAACAGAUUCCCACUGGCUUCCCAGUUGGGUAUGGGGGUGGCAGGGAUGGGUCUCAGGAAGAUGGGUCUCAGGAUGGAUGUGCACAAGGUCACGGCCUUUCAAACUUCUUUGAUCACCACUUACAAACAGAUAUAUAAAACUGAAGCAAAAGUUUUGUGAAAAUAACACACACUCUGUGUGAUCCAUUUGGGUAUUUUCUGUUCUGUUUAUUUUUUAAAGAAAAAUGCUAGUUGCAGCCCCUUAAACUGAUUUCACAACCCAGUCAUGGGUCCCAACCCAACAGGGUGAAAAACACAGAGUAAGAUCAUUAGUGCUCAGAACAACUCCAAACACAGCCGAGGGGCCCUCUCCAAAUGUUGCUCUUCGGUUCCUCCACAAGCAGGCAGAUGAUGGCGCCGGUGGCUGUGUGCGCCUGGUGGCGGUCCACUGGGCAGUGCUCUGUCUGCUCUCUCUGUGGAGUCUCCUUUCAGGGCCCCUGUUGGUUGUGCCAUAAAGUGGCCAUGGGCACAGAUACUUUUGUCAGUGCUGAGAGGUGGAAGUCUAUGAAGCACUCCACACGCCUGACAGCAAGAUGCCAGCUCAGUGUCAAGUGUCACAGGGCUGUGUAUCUCAUCCAUUAGAUGAGGCUCCUCGUGGAGGCAAAGCUUCCAGCCCCUCUGGGGCUCAUGGUGUUGCUCACCUGGCUCAGUUGCUCAGUCGUGUCUAACUCUUUGAGACCCCAUGGACUGUAGCACACCAGGCUCCUCUGUCCAUGGAAUUUUCCAGGCAAGACUACUACAGCAGGUUGCCAUUUCCUCCUCCAGGGUGUCUUCCCUACCCAGGGAUCAAAUCUACUUCUCUUGCGUCGUCUGCAUUGGCAGAUGGAUUCUUUACUGGUAGUGCCAGCCAGGAAGCCCUACUCACCUAACAGGGCUACACAUAACAAAUAGAAUAAGAGCAAAACAUGGGGCUCUUGCAUGCGUUAUAGUAACAACGAUAGAAGUGAUGGCUCUUACUGGCCAGAGGGUGGAUGAUAAAGCCAUCAAUACACAAGGAACAUUCCAGGUGCAGUGAAUCUUGGAGCCCUCUCUCCCUCUGGAACUGGAAGUUAGUGAAAACAGAACCUGUAGGAGUAACUACUUCAAAACCCCUGCAUUUAAGCCGGGUGCUUUAUCUCUCUGAGAGCCUCAAAGUCUGUUGACAUUUGUUUAGUACACUUUUCUAAGAAAAGCGGCUAUCUGAUUUCUCAACCCACUGAAAAAGAAAAUAAAUUGCCUGGACAGGUGUUGGUGGUAGGUCUUUUCUAGAGAAAGAGAGAUGUGUAGGUAACAGGAAAGUAAAAGCCAUGGGGAGGGAGAGAGAAACAGUAAACAGUAACCACAGUCAUAUGGUUGUCUCAUUCCUUAGGGAAAGCUCCUAAUAAUGACCACUUCAGUGGGAAAAGGGUAUUUUUUAUUUUUAUUUUUUUGGAAAAGGGUAUUUUUUAAAGCAUUAGUAAACUGUGGGCCACAUUUGAGCAACCACUUUAAAGUGGUUAAAAUAGUGUUUUGGCUGUUGAAGUUUCAUUUUUCAGAAAACAUUCAUGGGAACCUCAGUUAUUCUGGAACUCAGGUGCUGUUGAACUGCUGCUGGUCAGGGCUAGUUCGGAGUUUGAGGCAUGCUGUGAGCUUGGGUUCAUGGGCAAGUCCUCCCCAUCCAGCCCUAGUCAGCCUCAUAGCCUGCAACCCCUCCAUUACUCUUACGUCAGGUUCCUUUGCUCACCAGUGUGAAUUUGUGAAUGAACUCUUUCCAUUCUGAAAGCUUUUUGAUACAGUUGUGGCUCACUGAUAUCCUGAAGGGAGAUGUUCAGAAGGGACUGAACUGGACACUCCCUGAGGGUGGGGUGGGGCAGGACCUGAUGCAGUGGCCUGAAGGACUAGUAGUUGUUGUUAAGUCACUGUUAUGUCUGACUCUUUGUGGCCCCAUGGACUGUAGCACACCAGGCUCCUCUGUCCUCUGCUAUCUCCCAGAGUUUGCUCAAGUUCAUGUCCA